rnacentral:rRNA from 1 species
GCCUGUUUAUCAAAAACAUGGCCUUUUGUGAAUAAUUUAAGGUCAGGCCUGCCCAAUGAUUAAUUGAAUGGCCGCGGUACUCUGACCGUGCAAAGGUAGCAUAAUCAUUAGUUUUUUAAUUGAAAGCUGGAAUGAACGGUCUUACAAGAAAAUUUCUGUCUCAAUUAAAUGGUUCUUGAAUUUUAUUUUUUAGUUAAAAGGCUAAAAUGUGUUUAGGGGACGAGAAGACCCUAUAGAAUUUAAUAAGUUUUGCUUGAUUAUGUUUUUAGUUUAAUUAUUUUAGUUUGGUUUAGCUUAUUUUGUUGGGGUGAUUGGAAAAUUUGAUAAACUUUUCUUUUUAUAAAAUUACUAAUGUGUAUAUAGUUGAUCCGUUUUUAAUGAUUAAAAGAAUAAAUUACCUUAGGGAUAACAGCGUAAUUAGUUUGGAGAGUUCUUAUCGAUAAAUUAGUUUGCGACCUCGAUGUUGGAUUAAAAUUAACUUUUGGUGUAGGGGCUAAUAGGUUGAGUCUGUUCGACUUUUAAAAUUUUACAUGAUCUGAGUUCAGACCGG